rnacentral:lncRNA from 1 species
UAAAUGCCAACGUUAUAUGUUUUAUUUUUAAUCAAGUAAUUGCUUUAAACCUCAAAAUAUCCAUAAUUGACAGAGUAAGACUUUAGGCAUGAAAUGAGAAUAUAAAAUUCAUGGUCUGCAGAAAGGCAAACAGUACUUUAGUCCAUCAAGACAACUGUACACGAGUGAAAUGCCAUUGCAGGCAUCUACUCCUUCUUUGUCCUUUAAAAACAUACAGUUCAAGUGUUUUUAUUUUCACUUGUAAACAACAUGAGUCAAAAUGGACAAUGAGGUAAUCUAAAUACUACACAGGAUAAUUUAAAAACACUAGAUAAAACACCGUAUUAAAGACAUACAGAAAUCAGUGUUCACUUUGGUCUCCAGUAUGGUUAGAGUUGUUAAUACCAAAAAAGCAACACGUACUAAUUAAAGCCAGCUUGGUGGUGGGUGCCAGUGGUUGAUAGAUGGAAGUAAUUCAAGAGGUAGUCAACACCAUCAUGUUCAAGCUGGUCACUCUCACAAGUGUUAAGCCACAGAUGUAUUAAAUAUUGUAAUAGUUUCUCACAGUACAGUACUUUACCAUAACUUUGCAGCUUUGUUCCAAAUAGAAAAUUUAAAAAUGAUUCAUAGGUCAAUCUCUCACUCUAAUUGAGCAACUAUGACACAGAUCACACAACCAGCACGUCUUAAAGAGGCUGUUGACAGCUAUGUAAGAUAGAAUUUGAUGCUUUUAACAAGUUGUUCUUCUCUAAAACAAAUAAAUCUCAUUAAGACAUCUAGAAAAUUAAAGUCAGUACAGCUGCACUUGUACACUUUCCCAAAUUUUAUAACCAAAGGGGAAAUACACAUAUAUAUUUUAUGAUAAACAUUUCUUAGAGAAAACAGAUAAAUUAAUUUAAAUUAAGUUUAAGACUUAAUGAGAUUUCCCAUGUCCUGUAUAAUUCAUCUUACAGUGAAUGUUACAACGACUACUAACACUUAUGGGCUUCUAUUCACAAACUAAAUACAGCUAGCAGUAACUUGGGGCCACACCGGUGCAAAAUAAAACUGGGCCAGAAUAUGAAAAAAAUAUCGGCAAUAAAACAUCCUAUAUUUGUAGAUGGACCAAUGCUAAUAACGUGAUGUUUCUGGAUCUUUUUUGCUACAUUGCACGCCAAACGUCCAAGUUAUAAGCAGGUAAAAAUCUUUCUAAUCUCUCACUUGUAAAAAAUACAUCCGAGGUCUUCUAGUGAAGACUAGAAACGCAAGCAUAAAAAUGCUUCUACUAUAAUCUGCCAUGUAGCAAUGAAUAGCUCACAGGGCUCAGAGGCUGGUAGUGCAUCUUUCUUAGGAAUUACAUUUGUGUUGACAUACCGGGGAGGUCACAGGGCAACUAAUUCACAGACCUCCUGCCCAGCCCAGCAGUAACCCCUGUAAACUGAUGCUUCCCACAGACUCUCCCCCUCAGUAGCUAGAAAUGGCAUUGCACGUUCACUCUGUUCACUCCUCGGCAAGCUGGUGCUAGUGAGUUACGUGCCUAGGGCGACAACGCUGCAAUAUGCUUGGCCUCAGGGCAGCACAGACACAAACGAAGGAGAUUGGCAUCUUUUACGCUUUUGCCCAGCUGGAAGGGUGCCCAUAAGUCUUUAAACUAAAUACAUGAUCACUUUAGGGAAAUGCUUGGAGACUUUGCUAACUAAAUGAGAUGCUUCAUUAUUCACAAGUGUUUGUCAGAAACAUGCAGUUGUGAAUUGCUAUCUAUAAUAUAGAUUAAAAGGUUGUGUACCAGAGAAUUAUCAGCCACUGUAAGGCUGGAGCAGCAUAAAGGUGUGCUAUGCAUCAGCUAUGAGGUAGCCUUUUGCUGUAAACAGGAUAAUAGUUCACCCAUGUAAAUGGACACUGUGCUCACAUCAGUGACAUUCACAUGUGCAAGGAGUUCAGGAAUUCUGCUUUAGAGUACUUUUCACAUGAAAUAAAAAUAGGAGAACUGAUAUCUGACACUCGGAAAUUUUGAUCUAUGUCAAACUCAGAGGUAGUUAUUACUAGCAUCAGUACAUAACACUUACACAAAGGUCUAAGUCAUUUGGUUUGUUUUGAGUAAGCAGGACUGUAGACUAUUCUGUAAAGAAACGACGACAACAUUAUAUGGUAUGUUCCCUGAGCAAAGUUCUUUGUCCUGAGUAGGUUAUGUAAUAGUGAUAAUAUUCUUAUAUAAAAAAUAAACCCCAACUUUUAAUCAUAAGAUAGGUUUGGUAUGUGCUCUUAGUUCAGUCUGGUAAGAUGCUUAAAAUGAUUUCAAAUUGCACCCAUAAGGUCCAAGUUAUAAAAUGUUUCUGGGUGGUUUUUUUUUUUUUAUUUUUUACCACGAUCUCAGCUCUGAACUUUUCAUAUGUAAACAGGGAAUGUCCAAUUCUCAAGUCCAUAAUUUCCUAUUUCUAUAAGGUCAAGGAACUUUGGUUUGAAUUUUCAAAGUGACUUGUUAUGUUUUGCAUUUUUACUGUUAACCUGCUUAGUAUACCUGCUAAAAAUUAAGCAAUGCCACUUUGAUUUGUCUACAUAAUUUAAAUAAGCUUACGAUCCUCACAUAAGGCAAGGAAGUACUUCUCUACAGCUAUAUAUCACAUUCAAUAUCGUCAAAGGUAAGCUUUGCAUCACAGCACACUGAUAUUUCAGUAUAUACCAUGGAGAUCCUCACAAACACUGUCGUGAAAUUCAGGCUGAGUUGUGAAGGACUGGCAGCCCAGCCUGAGGCAUUUUCUCCUUAUGCGUGGCAUGCUGAACAGCAGCAACUGUACAUGUCUCCCAUGGCAGGACGAGUUGGGGAGGGAGUGGAAACUGUUCAGCAGAAUGUGUCUCAUUUGAAUCAUGCUAUUUUCUUUUUUUUUUGAUUAUCUGAGCUUACACCAACAGGCUCAUACAAAACUAUAUUUAUUGCCAAUGUUAAGCAUUAAAAUUAAUUGGUACCUUCUUGGAGGUGUUUCAGAAAUUUACUCAUAACAUCUAGAACCAGGAUGACACCAAAAUCAUCUUUUUCCAUUACUGAAACCUAAAGAGACCAAUGUAAUGAUUGGUCCCUGCCAGGUGAUUACUAUAACUGAGGACCAACCUGACAAGCGUCUCUAUCCUCAGCACUGAAGGUUCAUCCUGCAUCCACCAUAUACGUUACUCCAGCUUGUGUAAUAGACGGAACUUCCAUAAGAUCAAUUUUCUCGUAUAGAAUACUUCUAGCUUUCUGGUGGGAGAGGUUUUGGUACCUCUGCCCCAGAUCCAUCACUCUAGUCGCCUGCCACCAAACACUGCACUUUUUAAUAUUACUCAAGGUCAUAUGUAUUGGGCAAUCGUGAGCAUCCACUUAAUUUUCAUUCUCAACCCUGGCAUUUUAUUCAUAUCUGUGCUGUUUUGUUUAUUUGUUUUAGAAACA